GAUGAACGCUGGCGGCGUGCCUAAUACAUGCAAGUCGAGCGAACGGACGAGAAGCUUGCUUCUCUGAUGUUAGCGGCGGACGGGUGAGUAACACGUGGAUAACCUACCUAUAAGACUGGGAUAACUUCGGGAAACCGGAGCUAAUACCGUAUGAUAUCUUGAACGGCAGGGUUCAAAAGUGAAAGACGGUCUUGCUGUCCCUUAUAGAUGGAUCCGCGCUGCAUUAGCUAGUUGGUAAGGUAACGGCUUACCAAGGCAACGAUGCAUAGCCGACCUGAGAGGGUGAUCGGCCACACUGGAACUGAGACACGGUCCAGACUCCUACGGGAGGCAGCAGUAGGGAAUCUUCCGCAAUGGGCGAAAGCCUGACGGAGCAACGCCGCGUGAGUGAUGAAGGUCUUCGGAUCGUAAAACUCUGUUAUUAGGGAAGAACAUAUGUGUAAGUAACUGUGCACAUCUUGACGGUACCUAAUCAGAAAGCCACGGCUAACUACGUG
rnacentral:rRNA from 1 species